rnacentral:rRNA from 1 species
UACGUAGGGUGCGAGCGUUGUCCGGAAUUAUUGGGCGUAAAGAGCUUGUAGGUGGCUCGUUGCGUCGGGAGUGAAAACCUGCGGCUUAACCGCAGGCCUGCUUCCGAUACGGGCGAGCUAGAGUUCGGCAGGGGAGACUGGAAUUCCUGGUGUAGCGGUGGAAUGCGCAGAUAUCAGGAGGAACACCGGUGGCGAAGGCGG